rnacentral:lncRNA from 1 species
UAAAAGGAGACCAUGAGGCAAUGAGUCGAUCAUCCAAGGAAACACACAGAUAUCCCAACUAAAAUUCCAUCAGUGAGACAAUGGCUGGAACCAAUGAUAUUAAAAUUAAAGGGUUUGAUUUGAGCAACAACAAAGGCAACACGUCGGGAUUAACCCACUUCGCCAACAGAGCUGACGGGGGCGACAAGGGCGACAAUAAAAUCGAGGUUGAGGAUGCUAAAGGGCAAGGGAACACAGGAAACUUGAAAGUACUGACCGACUUCGCCCAACGCGGUAAAGUGGGCCAGUCGGAUCGCCAAGAACUACUCAAACCUCAGGCAUGAAAUUGAAGAAGGCCAUACCAUAACCACUUGUCUGCUUGAUAGAUAUAUGUGCUAAAUUAUCUACACAAAAAUAAGAGCUGCUGUUUUAUCUGAGGCUCCUUCCUUGGUUAGGCCUCGUUAUCAUGUGUAAUAUUAAUAUUAUUA